rnacentral:tRNA from 1 species
AGUUAAUGAGCUUGAAUAAGCAUAUGUUUUGAAAACAUAAUAUAGGAAUAAAUAAUUUUCUAUUAGCUU